rnacentral:rRNA from 1 species
UGGGGAAUAUUGCACAAUGGAGGGAACUCUGAUGCAGCGACGCCGCGUGAGUGAUGAAGGAAUUCGUUUCGUAAAACUCUGUUCUAUGGGAAGAAAAGGACUGUACCAUAGGAGAAAGCUCCGGCUAAAUACGUGCCAGCAGCCGCGGUAAUACGUAUGGAGCGAGCGUUGUCCGGAAUUAUUGGGCGUAAAGGGUGCGCAGGCGGCUUUACAAGUUGGAUGUGAAAUAUUGUGGCUCAACCACAAACGUGCAUCCAAAACUGCAAAGCUUGAGUUAAGGAGAGGUAAGUGGAAUUCCUGGUGUAGCGGUGAAAUGCGUAGAUAUCAGGAGGAAUACCGGUGGCGAAGGCGACUUACUGGAAUUAAACUGACGCUAAGGCACGAAAGCGUGGGGAGCAAACAGG